UGGCACAGGUCCUCCGUAUUGCUAAACGAU
rnacentral:piRNA from 1 species